rnacentral:rRNA from 1 species
UCCUACGGGAGGCAGCAGUGGGGAAUUUUGGACAAUAGGCGCAAGCCUGAUCCAGCAAUGCCGCGUGCAGGAAGAAGGCCUUCGGGUUGUAAACUGCUUUUGUCAGGGAAGAAAUCUUCUGGGCUAAUACCCCGGGAGGAUGACGGUACCUGAAGAAUAAGCACCGGCUAACUACGUGCCAGCAGCCGCGGUAAUA